GCGCGGGGCUCGCCGUCCUCCAGGUACCCGGCACCUGUGGCGGCGGCUCCUGCUGGUUCCUGUGGUACCGGAGUGCCGACCCCGGGGAUCCCCUCACCCGUUGCCGCGAGGACGGGCUCCUACCAUCCCCUUCCCUUCCCGAGCGGUGCGACGUGAGCAGGUGCGGACGGAACGGCAGUAGCCGCCCCUAGGGACUUCGGGCAGCCGGAGCGGAGGCUCCGGAGCGAGGAGGAGAAGCCACAGACUUCAUGGGUGGAGGCGCGGAGGCUGACAGCCUGGGAGCGGUGGCAGGGACUCCACCACACAAAGGCUGCUCCGUUGUCCUGUGCGCCGCAGCCGAUAUUUGCUGAGCACCUAAUUUGUUCCAGGCACUGAUCAAAAGGUGUGUGUGAAGUGGUUCAAAAAGUUAUGAACAUUCCUGUGAGGCAGUAGAAGAUCCUUGUCAUCUGAUGGCAAAACUGCUAAAGAAGUAAAGCUCCUGCCCCAGCCUCAGACCCAGUCAUGACAAGUAUGGCUGCUGCGUGGAGCACAUCUUCUGAGCCCCUCAGAAAAUUCAGAGAGCCUCUCAGAGAAUAAAGCUUUGGACUGGACUGUGGCUUCAGCCGUGACUCUUUUUCCUAGCAAACUGUGGUGCUGGAUGAAACAAGAUGCAAACUGUAAUCCAGUCACAAAGGCCAAAGGUUGAGGAAGAAAUUGCCAUUCCUCCUUCCUGCUUGCAACUCAAGAGUCUGCCUCCCGCAUCCUUGUUAGAAUUAUUGGUAUCUGGCUUUAUACAUACACCCUCGUAUUUGAGUGCAUAUACUGGUGCUCACAGCAUUGGUUUAAAGUUAGUGGUUCUGUCACCGCUCUAGCUGUAUGACUUGGACGUUCAGUUAAUCUCUGUGAGUCUCAACCUUCUCACCUGUAUGAUGGGAGUAGUCAUGUCUCUCCUGCUUACCUGGUCAAAGAAAAUCUCAACUUUGUAAGUCUGAAACCUUAGGGUCCCAUACCUGGGUAGGAAGCUUGCAUGUUAUUUAACACAGCUUUUGUCUGCUGCAGGUGACCAUCCCCUCACCAGCCUCCUGCACAGAUGGUCCUCCAGCUUCAGACUGAGGUCUGACUGGUGGGGGACCUGCCCUCUUCAGGAGCUCUGACUGUGAGAAAGUUGUGCCAGGCUGAAAUCUGAACCCUCCAAUAACUUUUACCUGCUGGUUUCUGUUUUAUUUCUAGAUCCAACAGUACGUUUAAUCUCAAAGUCUUCUGUAUAUUGAAGACUACUGUAAAAAAAUACAGUCAAUUUUUAAAAACUGGGUAUCAAGUCAUUUUUUCAGUUCCUUUGCCUGCUCUGCCCUUUAGAUUCUGAUCUGGAUUGACUGCAUGGAACAGAACAUGGUGCCCGGUGUUCCUGAACAUUCUCAAGGGUCCUUGUGGCAUCAGUUAUAAAAUUUUUCCUGAUGAUCCCUAGAAGAAAGUGUGAUUAUUACUAAUGAUAGGUGUCCCCACACAUAGUGGGUCUACUCAAAUCCUGGAGCCAUAAUUGUAAAAGCAGGUUUCUUAACAUGUUUUAAAUUAUUUUAACUUGGAAAUAACUUCCC